UAGGAUUUUUCAAAUGAAUAUUUUAAUGUCGGGGAUUCCUGGGGGAAAAUGAACAAAAGAGAAUUUCAACACACUUUUCACUCGUUUAGCUUUCACACUGGCAUUUGCUGGGGCCGAAUACCAGAAGUGCGUGUGUGAUAGGUUGUGGUGCUUAUGGCAUUCAGAGCGCGUCGAAAUGUAACUGAGUAAAAGGGAUUUCUUGGGGAGAAAAUUGGUCUUCGGAAUGUUUUUAAUUGCUCUUAACAUUUUUGGUGUUUCUACCCACGCACUAGAAGGGGAUUUUUCACCUCUACAUCAUCGCUCUCCGGUUCUUCAGUCGUUGUGCUAGUUGUUGCAAUUUUAAAUUUUUGCCUGCUUG